AGAGUUUGAUCCUGGCUCAGGACGAACGCUGGCGGUGUGCUUAACACAUGCAAGUCGAACGGUAAGGCCCUUUCGGGGGUACACGAGUGGCGAACGGGUGAGUAACACGUGAGUAACCUGCCCUCAUCUCUGGGAUAACAGUCGGAAACGGUUGCUAAUACUGGAUAUGAGCUUGCAAGGCAUCUUGUGGGUUGGAAAGAUAUUUUUUGGUUGGGGAUGGACUCGCGGCCUAUCAGCUUGUUGGUGAGGUAGUGGCUCACCAAGGCUUCGACGGGUAGCCGGCCUGAGAGGGCGACCGGCCACAUUGGGACUGAGAUACGGCCCAGACUCCUACGGGAGGCAGCAGUGGGGAAUAUUGCACAAUGGGCGGAAGCCUGAUGCAGCAACGCCGCGUGCGGGAUGACGGCCUUCGGGUUGUAAACCGCUUUCAAUUGUGACGAAGCUUUUUGUGACGGUAGCAGUAGAAGAAGCACCGGCUAACUACGUGCCAGCAGCCGCGGUGAUACGUAGGGUGCGAGCGUUGUCCGGAUUUAUUGGGCGUAAAGAGCUUGUAGGCGGUUUGUCGCGUCGGGAGUGAAAACUUGGGGCUUAACCCUGAGCUUGCUUUCGAUACGGGCUGACUUGAGGGAGGUAGGGGAGAAUGGAAUUCCUGGUGGAGCGGUGGAAUGCGCAGAUAUCAGGAGGAACACCGGUGGCGAAGGCGGUUCUCUGGACCUUUCCUGACGCUGAGAAGCGAAAGCGUGGGGAGCGAACAGGCUUAGAUACCCUGGUAGUCCACGCUGUAAACGGUGGGUACUAGGUGUGGGGGACAUUCCACGUUCUCCGUGCCGUAGCUAACGCAUUAAGUACCCCGCCUGGGGAGUACGGCCGCAAGGCUAAAACUCAAAGGAAUUGACGGGGCCCCGCACAAGCGGCGGAGCAUGCGGAUUAAUUCGAUGCAACGCGAAGAACCUUA
rnacentral:rRNA from 1 species